rnacentral:rRNA from 1 species
GACGGAAGGGGCAAGCGUUGUUCGGAAUCAUUGGGCGUAAAGGGCGCGUAGGUGGUUCUGUACGUCUACCGUGAAAGCAUACAGCUCAACUGUAUUUUGUCGGUAGAAACUGCAGGACUUGAGGCUGGGAGGGGCUGGUGGAAUUCCCUGUGUAGCGGUGAAAUGCGUAGAGAUGGGGGAGAACACUCGUGGCGAAGGCGGCCAGCUAGACCAGUUCUGACACUGAGGGACGAAAGCUAGGGGAGCGAAUGGG